rnacentral:lncRNA from 1 species
GGCACAGUGCUGCCAUUCAUCUGGGCAAACAUUUCUCCUCCUGUAACCUCAAGGAUCGACUUGGCUUUUUUUCCAACAGCCAAAUCAGGAUGCACGGAGAGUGUACGGAUACUUAUCCUAUAGAGGGGACUUCAGAAGUUGACAGAGAAAUAUUAAAUGGCUCACGGCAAAAAUCAGCCUGUGGAAACAUGACUUCAGGGACAGAGGCCUUACAUCUCAAUAUGACAGAAAGGCUGGAGAAGGUGGAAAAAGACCUUAGACUAAUGGAGAGAAAGUGUACAGCUUGGUGUGACGAUUUUGAGUCUCGACUACGACUUCUGGAGAACUGCAACAGAGCAUUUCCUGGAAGGGUCACCCAAAAAGAGCCUGAGGACAAAGAAGAAAAUCGGAAGAUGAAAGAGAAGAUCAAACAACUAAAGGCACGAAACCACGAGCUCUUGUCUAAAUUGAUGAGCAUGCACAAGCAAUCAGAGAACAUGAAUGACCCUUCACGCUUGUCUGCUGUGCUGCAUUUGUAUGAGAUGGUUAGGCUACAUGACUGGGAAAAAUGCAGGAAAUCCUCAACGAAUAUGACAUAUACAAAUGGCAGAAACAUAAUUAAGAAGCUGUUUGAUGCCUGUGAGGAAUAUAUAGAGAAGAGAAAAAAUGACAUAUUUAACGUCCUUGACAUUUCAUCUUUGAAUUACGCUUACGAAUCUCAGGAAUUUGCCAACUGCAAACAAGAGCUGAUGCCAAUUGUAACGGAACUCUUAAGAAAUGCCUAUUGCCAACGUUACUCAGACUUUAACAAAAUCAUUACUGAGCAAGCCAGUGUUACUCUGGAAAAUGAUGAUCAAAAACAGUUCGCACUGCGGUGCUGCAGAGUUUAUUGUCUGAUGCUUCUUCAGGAGUCACCAGUUAAAGCUGUCUGGCACCCACAGGAAAUCCUUCCUCAACAUGUAGAGCAUGUGGACAAGAAAGCCUUUGAGCACUGGAAGAAAACAGGGCUUCUGUGGCCCGUACUGAAAUCUGGGGAAGAAGUUAUCGUGAAAGGUGUAGUCUGGGAUUUAAAGUAACAUGACUUUUGAGUCAAGAUACACACUUAAAUGGCUAUAAGAAGAUGAAACAGCUGCUGUGCAAUAUGUAGCUUUUCUUUCUCACAUGAACACUCUACUUUCCAUACCUAGUUAAAUGUGCAUGGCUUGGGAUGCUUAGGAUAAACUGCUAUUCACAAGCAACUACUAAAAAUAGAAGAUGUUUGUUUUGGUGGCAUGCAUACAUUUGAUGUAAUUUUUGUUGUCACUGUCUAAACAGCACUUGUUUGAAGAGAGAAUCUGUGUUUGUAGCCUACCUUAUCUGUUCUUCAUAGGUGCUUAUGACCUUGUCAGAUAACACUGGGGCUCUCAGCCACACUGUGGAGGCACCUGCCUCCUCACCAACUGUGGGCUCUUACUCUUAGCAGCUCUGAACUGCACUUUGACAAUGGUAUCACUACCCUCCCGUGUCUACACCCAGUGCACAAACUGCAGGCUCUUGCUUUUUGCUAAUGAAAAAGCAGCGAGGAUAAAGAUGAUCUGCUGGGAAAAAGGUCUCUCUCUAGAGUAAAAAUGUGCUUAGCUGAGAAAGAGGGCAAGGAACUAAAAAAUAAACAAACUAGAGCUCUCA